UACGUAGGGGGCGAGCGUUGUCCGGAUUUAUUGGGCGUAAAGCGCGGGCAGGCGGCCCGGUAAGUCGGCCGUGAAAGCGCCGGGCUCAACUCGGCGAGGACGGGCGAGACUGCGGGGGCUUGAGAGAGGUAGAGGGCGGUGGAAUUCCGGGUGUAGUGGUGGAAUGCGUAGAGCUCCGGAGGAACACCAGUGGCGAAGGCGGCCGCCGUGGCCUUUUCUGACGCUGAGCCGCGAAAGCGUGGGGAGCGAGCCGG
rnacentral:rRNA from 1 species